AUUGAACGCUGGCGGAAUGCUUUACACAUGCAAGUCGAGCGGCAGCGCGGGGCAACCUGGCGGCGAGCGGCGAACGGGUGAGUAAUGCAUCGGAACAUGUCCAUGUCGUGGGGGAUAGCCCGGCGAAAGCCGGAUUAAUACCGCAUACGCUCGAGAGAGGAAAGCCGGGGACCGCAAGGCCUGGCGCGAUUGGGUUGGCCGAUGUCCGAUUAGCUAGUUGGUGAGGUAAAGGACUUACCAAGGCGAUGAUCGGUAGCUGGUCUGAGAGGAUGAUCAGCCACACUGGGACUGAGACACGGUCCAGACUCCUACGGGAGGCAGCAGUGAGGAAUAUUGCGCAAUGGCCGAAAGGCUGACGCAGCGACGCCGCGUGAGGGAUGAAGUCCGUUAGGAUGUAAACCUACUUUUGCAGGGGAUGAACGUCUCGCUAUACGCGGGAUUGACCGUACCUUGCGAAUAAGGAUCGGCUAACUACGUGCC
rnacentral:rRNA from 1 species